GCUGCUCGUAGGGCACGUCCAGCAUCUGGUCCAGGCCCACACCGCGAAAAAAAGGUUUACCACAGUGGCUCAAGGAAAACGGAACCAGAGUAAGACAGUUUCUACUUGGACUUGGGGAACCAGCAAACUCAUUCACUUACAAUCAAGAACAAACCGAUUAAAUUGAAUAAAGAAUCUGGCAAAUCUAGCUACUAUGGUUUGGCUUAGUGUCCCCACCCAAAUCUCAUGUCGAAUGUGCUGGAGAAGGAGCCUGGUGGGAGGUGAUUGGAUCAUGGGGGUGAAUUUCCUCCUUGCUGUUCUCAUGAAUGUGAGUAAGUUCUCACGACAUCUGAUGGUUUAACAAUGUGUGGCACUUCCCCCUGCUCUCUUUCUCUCUCUCCCCUGCCACCAUGUAAAGAAGGUCCUUGUUUCCCCUUCACCUUCCACCAUGAUUGUAAGUUUCCUGAGGCCUCUCAGUCAUGCUUCCUGUUAAGCCUGUGGAACGGUGA
rnacentral:lncRNA from 1 species